UUUCAGAUUGUAAAAAAAUUAGAUUUAAAAGAGAAGUAUUAUGAAAUAUCUAUGUCUAAAUCUUUUUAGCUUCUACUAAAAAUCUGUGGCGCCUGCUGGUUAAAAGCAAUUUGUAAAGGUGUACACAGAUGCCACAAUGUCAGAAAAAUUGUCAUAAAAUAGUCCCUAGCUGUCACUGGGUCAGUACCCUUUCAAAAAAAGUACACUUUUGCACCUAAAGAGUUCCUAUUAUUACCUCAGAGGUACAUAUUGGUACCAAAUGUAUACACAUCUGUACCUAAAUGGUACAUAUUAAAACUUAUAAAAAGGUCCCACGCCAGUGACAACUUGGGAGGAUUUUCAACCAUUUUUUCUGACUGGCAUGUUAAAGGUCACGUUCUUCCUGAUCCAAUUUUUCAAACUUUAGAUUGUGUGUAAUGUUGCUGUUAGAGCAUAAAUAAUACCUGCAAAAUGAUAAAGCUCAAUGUUCACUGCCAGGCGAUAUAUUCCCCUUUCAAAGCCUAACAAACAUCCACCCCUCUACUAUUUGAUUGAAUGACGUUAAUAAAACAGUUUUUCACUAAACUCCGCCCACAGGAAUACGUCAAUCGGCAGCUUUGGCUCAAACGUCUCUGGCUAAGCUAAGCUGCUGUGAAUCACAACACACUAAACAAACUACACAAUCAGAAUUUUUUACGUAUUUCUGAAGGAGGGACUUCAUAGGACAAGGAAGACAUCAGCCCAUUUUGAGGACAGUGAAAACAGCGCUAUAAAGAUAAGUCAAUUGUGUGAAAAAUACAGCAUUUUUCAGCAAAUGUUAUAUUGCACACUGUAAACACAAUCAAAGCUUUAAAAACACAGAAAAAAUGGGACCUUAUUUUUUUUUUAUAAAUGUGACUUGGUUAUUCAAAUAGUUUUGGGGCCAUAUCAAUAUGGAAAAUACACCCCUUCUUGUUUUGACAAUCAGUAUAUCCAAAAUAUUCAACAUUUAAAAAAAAGUGCUCUCGCAGUUUGUUUUUCAUCUUUCCUUUCAAUCCAAAUCCAAUUUCUAAGCAGUUUUGAAAAUGUUUACCCGCAGAUUGUUUCUCUGUUGUGCUCUGCCGAAAAUAACAACAGAACAGUCUUGUUUUACUCAUCUAUGAUGUGGAAUACACUAUUAAAGCUCAUUACAUUGUUGCGUAACAGGGUAAAGAUGUUUCCCGGGCCGACUCUUACCUUAUAACGGCACCUGUUCCCAGUCUUUUGUGGAAAAUGCCGUUUUGUCCUUAUCCUGAAAUUUGGUUUAAAACUGUGACCAAGAACCACCUACUGUAUUUAGACAGCAACAAACAAACAACAUAUCCCAGGUGUGAGAUGUCAUGUGAGAGCUUUGGCAGUCAGUUACACCAAGAAAGAUUCAAGAUUUGCAUUGACAAUACAACUCUUUCAUGGUGCAUAAAAACUGCACGCAGGUUUGGCUUUUCAAACAUGGCUCAGCAGAGAGGGAAAAUACGUCUCAGGAACAUGCUGUUUGGUUAUAUAACAGAAUAAUGACUUGCCGUUAUCUCAGUAAUAAAAAUGCAUGGCCACAGGACCCGAAAUGAUUCACUACUGCUGCUGUUUGACCUGCGGGGUAAAACUCAUCAAUAGAUAGUGAUAUCUCUGAAUGUUUGUUUGCACCUCAGAAUUGUUCGGUAUACUUGACUUAGUGCUACUUUGCAUGUACCAUAAAGUCAAGCCAAGUGGCCUCAAGGCCUUGUUGGAAACUUAAUUACUUUUGCAAUUGUUGUACAAAGAUAGAUGGGAAAUGUAGUUGUGUGUGACAUAAAACUGUUGCCUUGUAAAA